rnacentral:rRNA from 1 species
AGCGAACGCUGGCGGCAGGCCUAACACAUGCAAGUCGAACGAAGUCUUCGGACUUAGUGGCGGACGGGUGAGUAACACGUGGGAACGUACCUUUUGGUCCGGAACAACUCAGGGAAACUUGAGCUAAUACCGGAUGAGCCCUUAGGGGGAAAGAUUUAUCGCCGAAAGAGCGGCCCGCGUUAGAUUAGCUAGUUGGGGAGGUAAAGGCUCACCAAGGCUACGAUCUAUAGCUGGUCUGAGAGGAUGAUCAGCCACACUGGGACUGAGACACGGCCCAGACUCCUACGGGAGGCAGCAGUGGGGAAUCUUGCGCAAUGGGCGAAAGCCUGACGCAGCCAUGCCGCGUGAAUGAUGAAGGUCUUAGGAUUGUAAAAUUCUUUUACCAGGGACGAUAAUGACGGUACCUGGAGAAAAAGCCCCGGCUAACUUCGUGCCAGCAGCCGCCGUAACAC